rnacentral:rRNA from 1 species
UACGUAGGGUGCGAGCGUUAAUCGGAAUUACUGGGCGUAAAGCGCGCGUAGGCGGCUUUGUAAGUCAGAGGUGAAAUCCCGGAGCUCAACUCCGGAACUGCCUUUGAGACUGCAUCGCUUGAAUCCGGGAGAGGUGAGUGGAAUUCCGAGUGUAGAGGUGAAAUUCGUAGAUAUUCGGAAGGACACCAGUGGCGAAGGCGGCUCACUGGACCGGUAUUGACGCUGAUGUGCGAAAGCGUGGGGAGCAAACAGG